rnacentral:pre_miRNA from 1 species
GAUUUUUUGAAUCCAUGAGAAGAUUUCAUCGAACACUAGCCCAUGAAGACUGAUGAAACUCCAAAGAUAACUGAAGUG